UGCGAAGGUGGGUUUUCAAAAUUCUACUCUCUGUGAGGGGUUAAAAUCAAGCACUGAUGUAAUACACUUCAACGCGCCAGAAUAGAGAUUUUGAUUAACGGGUAUUGAUAGAUUUUGCAGUUAACUGGUUCAAAGAACGUUGGAACUAAGUUAAAAUCCAUAAUAUAGUGUCAACAAAAAUAUGGGUUAUAACUUCAUCAGAAAUAUGCCCACAAUAUAGGGAAAAGACUACAUCGAAUAAAAUUCAUAGACUAUAUUUGAAUUUUACUCGUUGCAAGAUAAGAUUGAUAGACUAAAUUUGCUGAUUAUGUUGAAAGAGAAGGAUAUUAAAAAUUAUAUAGAAGAAACUGAGAGAAUAGAGAAAGAACACGAGUUAAAAAGAGAAGUAUGAAAAUUAGACAGUAAAAUAAGUGGGAAAAGUAGCAACUAUUUAUGCUCCCAAAGAAUAAAUUAAAUACUUCCAAAAACAAAAUUUAAGGAUAGAAGAGAGAAGAGGAGAAGUCGAACAGUUGCAAAAAGAGAUUGAAAAUUACAAAAAAAAAUAUUACUUGAAGCUCCUACAGAAGAUGUGGAUAAAAUGAUUUGAAGAACAUAUAAUCUAAAUACAAUUAUUACAUACAUAUGUCAUGAGAAGAAAAUUUGAAGAUAUAAUAAUUUAUGAAAGCGGAA